GCGGUAGCCAUCUCGGAUUCGGGCAGGGCUCCAGGGGCGGCGCUGGCAUUGAGGGGGAAGAGCCGAGACGCUGAUGGGAACACACCUUCCUCUGCCAAUGGGGGGGGAUCAGACGCGGAGAUUACAACUCCCAGCAUGCAAUGCUCUGCGAGCUCUGUUUGCUAUUAAGCAUGGCAAGUGAGUGCUGCCUGCCUGGUUACGAGAGCUAUGUGUGUAAAAAAAUGGAAAAUCACUAAGAAGAAAAUUACUACUGAAUGCUGACCUUUAUUAUGCACCGAAAAACACAAAUCAACUGGGUGUUAAAGCAAAAUAGGCCUCUAUUGAAAGCAGGAAUGGAAAUAUUACGAAUAUUUAACAGCGGCACUCAUUCAUAUCUUCAUCUUAAAAAAAAAAAAAAAAAAGAAUUCCAAAGACAAGAUCCAUAAUGAUCCAUAAUGCCACAAAGGCUUAGUUUUGUAAUAUUGAGAAGAAUCCCACGCAUUCCCAAUUGUAUGUGUAAGUUGUACAAGUGCAUGCACAACUUUCAAAGUUUGUGCAAAGCCUGAUAAAUAAGACACAAAUAUCAGUUACGUUUACUUUUUCUAAGAACUUUUACUCUGUAAAAUGUUUGGUCACUCAAAGCUAUAAGCUUAAUCACAUAUCAAAGAACACAGGCAAUAAAGCCCAUCUUACUAGAACGUACAGUAUUAAGCUGGACAAAAUAGAGGACAAAAUCUAGUGGUCACUGAAGCCCCUUCAAAAAAGGUCUAAAACAGAAAGUUUCCAUCAUGUAUCAGAAUAAAAAUGUACUGUAUUAAAAUUUGUUUUACAAGUAGUCUUUUAAUCAGUCUUCUAUUUACAGUGCAGAACUUCUGCCAGCUGCAGUAGUUUAACUUUGGCACAACACUAAGUUCCAAUCCUUUUGAGUAUUCAAUCCUGUGUGUGUCUCAACAUUUUCUUGGUUUCACGAAAGAUUAGGCCCAUUCACAGUAAACCAGAUAUCUUGCUUCCCCUUCACCACUUUGGGCAGCUACAAAGGAAAGACACUGUAAGCUACUGAAUCAUUCAAGAGAAACACUUCUUUCUAAAAUGCCACGAUGGCUUCCUUUAACAUGAUUACAUACACCAGACAAGGAUCAUACAGCUUGCUACUUGCUGGUCACCUCCCAGAACCUUGCUGGUCAUUAGUCAAUCACUU